UAAAAGGUUACUUGUAUAUAUAAAUGUUCCGCCAUAUUAAAAAUACUGAAAUCUGCUAGGCGUUCUGAAGCACCUUGAGCGGUGACGUCCACCUAGGUCCCAGUCUCGUACUACAUCCACUUUUUUCUCGUGCUUGCUUCAGAACGACUGAGACUAGGCUGACAGUCUAUAUGUGCAAAAAUAGUAUUAUGCAAGAAAAUAAACCAAAGGUGAC